AUAUAUAUAAGGAUUCAUUCCUACUACACAUUAUUACUACAGGUAGUGACCUGGAAAAGUCUACAAAACCAGAAUGUGUUAUUUAAUUGGACUUUUAUUUGUCAUACUGGUUCCGUGUAUGGCUCUCAGCAGUUGGAAUAGUGUAACAGCUCCUUCACUACAUUAUGAUGAAACUGCAUAUUGGCAAAACGAGUGUACCAAAUGUUUCAAUAAUCUGCAACAAAUAACUUCCAAGAAUAAGGAUUUAUACCGCCAAAUCCAUCAACUUGAAUUCACACUGGGACAGGAUCAAAUAGAAACAGAAAGACUUAAAAAUGUCACAGCAGAUUUCGAUACAAAACUUCUUUCACGGAUAUCUACAUCAAUUAAAGAACAAAACAGUUUGUGGCUGAAGUGUAUUGCUGUGACACCUGGUAGACCGUGUGAUAUUACACAAGGUUGUUCAACAUCUAAACAAGGACAAUGUUUUCCAAUAAACGUGUAAACACAGAAGAUCCAAAAUUCAUCAUUUCUGGACUAUCAACAGUGCCCAAUGAUAUUGUUACGACGCGUUUAUCCAUUAUAUAGACGAUUAUUGUUAUAUAAUACAUGUACGAUGCAUGUUUUCUUCAGUUAUCUGUUAUAAUUAAAACAACAAAACAAAAACCUGUUUUUUCUCCUCAAUGUGUUGGUCUCUUACUAAGACGGUGUUUUGCAUUGCGGGUGUAUAAAUACACAGACACGUCAUAUAUAUUAUCGGGAAACAAAGAACCCUCUACAACUAAAAAGGAUUGCUGCAGGUAAUAUAUUGAAAGGUAUUUCAU